rnacentral:misc_RNA from 1 species
GAAAUGCGAUAAGUAAUGUGAAUUGUAGAAUUCAGUGAAUCAUCGAAUCUUUGAACGCACCUUGCGCUCCUUGGUAUUCCUUGGAGCAUGCCUGUUUGAGUAUCAUGAAAUCUUCAAAGUAAAUCUUUUGUUAACUCAAUUGGUUUCUACUUUGGUAUUGGAGGUCUUUGCAGCUUCACACCUGCUCCUCUUUGUUCAUUAGCUGGAUCUCAGUAUUAUGCUUGGUUCCACUCGGCGUGAUAAGUUAUCUAUCGCUGAGGACACUGUAAAAGGUGGCCAAGGUAAAUGCAGAUGAACCGCUUCUAAUAGUCCAUUGACUUGGACAAUACUUUUAUGAUCUGAUCUCAAAUCAGGUAGGACUACCCGCUGAACUUAAGC